GGCCGGUCCUGUCCGGCCGUGCCCAUUGCUGGGAUUCCUGUGGCGCCCUGGGGACACCAUCAUAACCAGGCCAGAGGCUGGUGCUGGGGCCAGAAUCACAGAACAUCCCAAGCAGGAAGGGACACACUGGGAUCAUACUCACUCCCAUUACAAUGAUUCCAGUAAUUUCAAUUAGAUGAAUUAUCACAUAAUCAUGGAAUGGUUUGGGUUGGAAGGGACCUUAAAUCUCAUCUCAUUCCAAUCUCCUGUCCUGGAUAGGGACACCUCACACUACCCCAGGCUGAUCCAGGCCCCAGUGUCCAAUCUGGCCCUGGACACUGCUAGGGAUCCAGGGACAGCCACAGCUGCUCUGGGCACCUUGUGCCAGGGCCUGCCAACCUUCCCAGGGGACAAUUCCUUCCCAAUAGCUCAUGUAGCCCUGCCCUCUGGCAAUGCUGUUCAGAAAAUACUCAGAACAUCAGAGGUUUAUGACCAAAAGGAGACUGAGGAGUUGUAAAACUUCAUUCAAAUAAAGGGAAAGAGGCUACUGGGGCACACAUCCGCAGGGAUUUCUCUGUCAAGGUUUAGGAGGGCCCAGCCUCCUUUUGUCCUAAAUUCCUGGUCUCUUCCUUUCCCCAUGGGCUAAGGUAUUAUGAAGGUCCACCCUUGCCCAACCACUUAACCCAUAUCCCACCUUGAACCUGUUAUUUUACCUCAUAGUGCAGAAGUUCAGCCUUGUGCAGACCCAUUUAUCUGUUCCAGGAGCCAAGCUGUCUGGGCUCUGCAACAAAACUGAUGCUUGAAUUUGGUAGAGAUACUAAGAUUCAUUUUAAAACCACUAACACCCAUCCCCUCACCCAUGGGAUUGUUUGCAAAGUCAUUAGCGUUCCUACCAGUGGGAGCCAUUCCCUGUGUCCUGUCCCUCCAGCCCUUGGCAAUUGUCUCUCUCCAUCUUUCCUGCAGCUCCUUCAGGCCCUGCAAGGCCACACUGAGCUCAGCCCAAAGCUUCUACUGUGCAGCUGGAAAUAUCACAGAAUCAUGGACUAUCCACAGUUGGAAGGGACCCAGCAGGAUCAUUGAGUCCAAUUCCUGGCCUUGCUAGGGACAUUCCAAAAAUCCUGUGCCUGAGACCCAACUGAUUUUUAUUUCACAGAAUCAGCUGGGUUAGAAAAGAUCUUUGGUAUUAUCAAGUCCAACCUAUUUGUUAAUAAGGAUGAGCAAGAAAUGACCAGGAUAAAACUCCUUUUGUGUCCCUGGCAUCAGGCAGAGAUGGGAAUGCUGCUGCUCACAGGUGGAAACUGAUGAUUCCAGAACUAUGUAAUGUGCUAUGAAAAUGAAACUUCUCCAGAUUAAUGAGGAAGGGCCAAAAAGGUGGAAAAAUGCCCUAUCCCUGCAGGCAGUCCUUGAGGAAGACAGC